AGGGACCAAGGAUCCGGACAAUUUGAAAAUCACUAUUGUUUGAACACAAUUCCUGAAGCAGCAGGAUCACCUCUGUAGGCACCGUGCAUGCCUGGGGAUAUUUUAAGAUCUCGACAUAGUCUAAAGUUUUUAUUCACAGCCUCAGUUUUUCAUCAUGGAGCAACCGGUGUUGAUUCUUACAAAUACAACACAAGACAUUUCAACUGUGAAUAGGUUUUCAAAGAAACUUGCCAAAGCUGUAGUGGACUAAAUCACAGAUCUUUAGAAAUGUCAUACUUUCACCCAUCGUAUUUCCCCAACUACUCAUGGAACCUGGACCACAGAAUAUUUAUGUAAUGUUGUAAAUUAAAGUUUUUAGAAUCUGA